AUUAACUCUGUUUUCCACAAUUCUUAGAAUUUCAGCUAUUGGAAGAGUAUACACUGAGCAGCAGACACACAUUUGUAUCAGGACUAUGGAACACACAGUAACAGUGGAUACCUAUCCCAGGACACUGGGAAUUUCUCACAUUUGCCCUGGAAGGAUAUUAUCAGAUGCCUGGAGGAGGACCUGUCUAUCUAAAGUCCACCCUGUGCCUCAAAAUGGCUGCCAGGAAAUACCCUUUCAGCUGAUGUGUGGAGGACUAACUCUACCAAAUCAUUAACUACUGUGUGCCUCUUUCCACAACUGGCCUAGCUUGAGUAGAAAUGCAAAGGUGAUUGAAAGUGGCUUGAAAUGGUAGCGCUGUUCAGAGUGACGUCAGCAUGGACAAUGUAGUAAGGAGUGCAUUGUGGGAUUCUGCAAUA